rnacentral:rRNA from 1 species
UGGGGAAUAUUGCACAAUGGGGGAAACCCUGAUGCAGCAACGCCGCGUGAGUGAUGAAGGUCUUCGGAUUGUAAAGCUCUGUCUUCAGGGACGAUAAUGACGGUACCUGAGGAGGAAGCCACGGCUAACUACGUGCCAGCAGCCGCGGUAAUACGUAGGUGGCAAGCGUUGUCCGGAUUUACUGGGCGUAAAGGGAGCGUAGGCGGACACUUAAGUGGGAUGUGAAAUCCCCGGGCUUAACCCGGGAGCUGCAUUCCAAACUGGGUGUCUAGAGUGCAGGAGAGGAAAGUGGAAUUCCUAGUGUAGCGGUGAAAUGCGUAGAGAUUAGGAAGAACACCAGUGGCGAAGGCGACUUUCUGGACUGUAACUGACGCUGAGGCUCGAAAGCGUGGGGAGCAAA